GAUGAACGCUGGCGGCGUGCCUAAUACAUGCAAGUCGAGCGAACAGACGAGGAGCUUGCUCCUCUGACGUUAGCGGCGGACGGGCGAGUAACACGUGGAUAACCUACCUAUAAGACUGGGAUAACUUCGGGAAACCGGAGCUAGUACCGGAUAAUAUAUUGAACCGCAUGGUUCAAUAGUGAAAGACGGUUUUGCUGUCACUUAUAGAUGGAUCCGCGCCGCAUUAGCUAGUUGGUAAGGUAACGGCUUACCAAGGCAACGAUGCGUAGCCGACCUGAGAGGGUGAUCGGCCACACUGGAACUGAGACACGGUCCAGACUCCUACGGGAGGCAGCAGUAGGGAAUCUUCCGCAAUGGGCGAAAGCCUGACGGAGCAACGCCGCGUGAGUGAUGAAGGUCUUCGGAUUGUAAAACUCUGUUAUUAGGGAAGAACAAAUGUGUAAGUAACUAUGCACGUCUUGACGGUACCUAAUCAGAAAGCCACGGCUAACUACGUG
rnacentral:rRNA from 1 species